CGCCACCCCGUCUGGGAAGUGAGGAGCGUCUCUGCUUGGCCACCCAUCGUCUGGGAUAUGAGGAGCCCCUCUGCCUGGCUGCCCAGUGUGGAAAGUGAGGAGCGUCUCUGCCCGGCCGCCAUCCCAUCUAGGAAGCGAGAAGCGCCUCUUCCCCGCCGCCAUCCCAUCUAGGAAGUGAGGAGCGUCUCUGCCCGGCCGCCCAUCGUCUGAGAUGUGG
rnacentral:lncRNA from 10 species